rnacentral:lncRNA from 1 species
UCACAAUUCACUUAAUAGCAGUUUCUUAAACUGAACAAGAAAACAAGCUAAUUCAAAAUGACUUGAAGAGUGAAGAAAAAAAUUCUCAAGAUGCUUCUGAGAGUUCUGGGUGAUCAGUAGCAGCUCGUUUGAAGAGCCAGAAAAAGUCUAAGUUCUACUUUCAGGAGCUGGAGGCAGGAGGAAUAAUUCAGGAAUAAUUCAAGGUGGAGGAGAAUAAGGAAAAACGCUUAGGAGACUGACACUUCUCCAUAUUAUUGUUGGAUGAGAUGGGCUAGGAAGACUCGGGGGCAGUAAUGUGGCCGUGUCCACACAUUUCUCCUAGACAAGAGGGAUAAGAACAAGGCCGGCUUCUCAAGAAGAGCCCCUGUCUUUAGUAUUAAGAGGUAGAGCCUUAAGAAGUGCUUAAGUCAUGAGGGCAGAACCGUCAUGGGUGGGAUUUGGGCCCUUGAGGGAGUGCGUUCAUCCCUUUCCAUCUCCCUUCAGCAUUUCAUCUGCUAUGGCCAUGGUUUUUCUGGGGACCAGAGGUAACACGGCAGCACAGCUGUCCAAGGUCAGCAGAAACAAAAAAAAGGGUCUGCUUUCCUCCCAUCUCCCUACGAAUGGACAGUCUGCAUGGAAAGGUUGUGCCUUUGAGCUCUUACCUUGUGUUUUCAGAACUGUAUUUUUAUGAGAUACCAUUUAUUAUUUUCUUUGGAAAAGGCAGACUUAUAUAUAAAUAUUUAGUAUCUUAACCACCCACAUUUGUGGAACUGCAAGUGUAACAAAGAGUGAUGUAAAAGCAAUGUGUAAAGUUGUAAACAUUCUGUCUCACGAAGCCAUAAAUUUUGGAUUUCCUAUUGUUUGUUCUGCAAUGACAAAUUAAUAAAGUAUUGGGUUUGGGAUCAUCAAUAAUUAGUAAUAAAAACACAUUAAUUUAAUGUGAUAGAAGGAAACACCAAGGAAUCACUUUAUAGUUUCAAAAUAAAUGGUUGUAGAAAGAAGAUUUUCUUUAUUUUAGACUUUCCAUUUCAACACCCCAAAACUUUUAAAGUUGCAUUUCAAAGUUAAAACCAACAUUGGCAGGCGCGGUGGCUCAUGCCUGUAAUCCCAGCACUUUGGGAGCCCAAGGCGGGCGGAUCAUUUGAGGUCAGGAGUUCAAGACCAGCCUGCCAAAAAUUACCUAAUACUCAUAUGGAAAGAAAUGUCCUGGAAUUUCAUGGAAAUACCUGAAAUCAAUAUUCACAAACUACUGUGGUUUGCAUUAGUUUUUUUUCUGAUUGUAAAGUGAAAAUCUCUAGCCUCUUAAAAGGAAUUAUCAGCACCAUUAGAAGAAGUAGAGUGAUGGUUCUAUUCCAGUCCAAUAGCUAUAACAAUAGUAAUGAUAAUAGCUGACAUUUAUGUAGCACUAUGGGCCAAGCACUUUAUAUACAUCAUUUCAUUUGGCAUGUCAGGAGCCAGAGAUAUUUUUAUAUCAAAAAUUGUCCACAAGUCAUUUGUGGAAGUGAAUGAAGAGGGAACAGAGGCGGCAGCUGCCACAGCAGGCAUCGCAACUUUCUGCAUGUCACACACAAACUAGAAAAGAGCACUGUUUUCUAUGAUCAAGAUGAUUAAAGACAAGGUUUAACAUUUCAGCAGAUAAUUGGAAACUUAAAAGAGACACUGCAUAUUUGAAUCAAAAUAAGACAGAAAUUUUGAAUAAAUGUCCCCGUUCCAGUUAAACGACAAAGAUGGUCAAGCUGAAUUAAAAAAAAUACUAUAUGCUAGUUAGAGGAAAUAGAUAUAAAACAUAAGACUAGGGAGAUCAUAUAUAUCCAGAAUUAAAAUAAAUGAUAACAUAGAAGUUGGGGAAGGAAAUGGAGUUAAAAGUUCUAAAGUCCUUGCAUUGUCUGGGAAGAGAAUAAAGUACAAUUACAAUUACAUAUUUCCUAUUCCUAUUCCAGAGAUAAAGAAAUUGGUCUGCAAUUUGAGAACAAGACAAGGAUGUGCUAUCACCACUUAAUAAUUUAAUGAAGAUCCUAGCUGAUAUACUAACUCAAGAAAAAAAUAAAUAAAAUAUAUAAUGAUUUGAAAGAACAAACCUCACAAUAUUUCAGAGCACUUUGGGAGGCUGAGGGGGGAGGAUCACUUGAGCCCAGGAGAUCUAGAUCAGCCUGGGCAGAAGACUUCGUCUCUACUAAAAAUAAAAACAAAAAAAUUAGCCAGGCAUGGUGACACGUGCCCAUCCCCAGUCCUUUGGAGGCUGAGGCAGGAGGAUCACUUGAGCCUAGGAGUUUCAGGCUGCAGUGAGCUAUGGUCACACUACUGCACCACUCUAGCCUGGGUGACA